GAUGAACGCUGGCGGCGUGCCUAACACAUGCGGGUCGAACGGAGAUUACGGACGGAAGUUUUCGGAUGGAAGCCUGUAAUUCUUAGUGGCGGACGGGUGAGUAACGCGUGGGCAACCUGCCCUAUACAGGGGGAUAGCAGCUGGAAACGGCUGGUAAGACCGCAUAAGUCGGUUAAAUCGCAUGAUUUGAUCGGGAAAUGAGCAAUCAGGUAUAGGAUGGGCCCGCGUCCGAUUAGCCAGUUGGCAGGGUAAAAGCCUACCAAAGCGACGAUCGGUAGCCGGACUGAGAGGUCGGACGGCCACAUUGGGACUGAGACACGGCCCAAACUCCUACGGGAGGCAGCAGUGGGGGAUAUUGCACAAUGGAGGAAACUCUGAUGCAGCGACGCCGCGUGAGUGAAGAAGUAUUUCGGUAUGUAAAGCUCUAUCAGCAGGGAAGAUGAUGACGGUACCUGACUAAGAAGCCCCGGCUAACUAC
rnacentral:rRNA from 1 species